UACAGAGGGGGCAAGCGUUAUUCGGAAUUAUUGGGCGUAAAGCGCAUGUAGGCGGCAGCGCAAGUCGGGCGUGAAAUCCCACGGCUCAACCGUGGAAGUGCACUCGAAACUGCGCAGCUAGAGUCCUGGAGAGGAAGGUGGAAUGCUUGGUGUAGAGGUGAAAUUCGUAGAUAUCAAGCGGAACACCGGUGGCGAAGGCGGCCUUCUGGACAGUGACGUGACGCUGA
rnacentral:rRNA from 1 species